UCGGAGAAACAAGAACCGUAAUAAACGUCACAAUGCGGCGACUAUGGGAUAUUGCGGGACACACAGUUAUAGGGAACGAUAAGAGGUUAGGUUAGGUUAGGUUAUCCCUGCAACAAUCGAAGAUUCGAUUUAACGACGAAUACCACCAGGAAGACAAAGAAAUGCAUACGCGUCUCAACUGAAAACAGAAGAUACAGUGUCCUUAAAAUAUUCUUC